GGAGGACAGAGCACAGAUGACAGGAGGCUGUGUACCCACGGAAAGUCACAAGACGCUCUGCAGAGCAGCCAAAUACUAAUUGAAAUAAUUAACUGUAGAAGACACGUGGGCACAGCGAUAUUAGUGGCGCAUAAUCCUUUCUAGUUAAGCGCUCCUUCCUGGAUUACAGCCGAAGAGCUCGGGAGUUCUAAUUACCUGUGCAGAUCCCAGGAGGCGGAAGCAAAACGUGAGAACCCUCUCUGUGUCGCAACAAUUGAGUGUUGAAAGUCUCUCUACCAACAUCAAAGUAGAGGGGCUGGCGAUUUUAAAUAGCUAUAAAUGAGGCAUUUUUAUUCCACUCCUGCCAAAUCCAG
rnacentral:lncRNA from 1 species